AUGCCCCCCUCCCCGGCGGCCGCGGCCGCCUCCCACCUCGCGCUCCUCCUCCUGCUCUCCUCCUCCUCCCUCUUCUUCCUCUACAAGUCCAUCACCCUCCGCCGCCUCCNCCGCAGCCUCCGCCCCUCCCCCUCCCCAUCCUCCUCCCCCGCCGCUGCCGCCGCCCCGACCCUCCUCUACGCCUCGGCCACGGGCACCUCCAAGGCCCUCGCGGCGCGCCUCUCGGCCCGCCUCGCGAACGCUGGGCUGCCCGCCCGCGCCACCGACGCCGCCGCCUUCGACCCGGACGACCUGCCCUCGGUCCCGCUCCUCCUCCUCGUCCUCCCCACGCACGACGCCGGGGCGCCCCCGCCCGGCGCCGCCUUCCUCGCGCGCUGGCUCGCGGAGACCGCCGCCGACUUCCGCGCCGGGGCGCUGCUCCUCUCGGGCCUCCGCUUCGCCGUCUUCGGCGUCGGCUCGCGGGCCUACGGCGACACCUUCAACGCCGCCGCCAGGAGCUUCUCGCGCUGGCUCCGCGCGCUCGGGGCCGUCGAGGUGCUGCCCGUCGGGGAGGGCGACGUGGAUGAGGGGGACCUCGACGACGUCUUCGAGGAGUGGUGCGGGAGGGUGCUCAGGGUGGUCAAAGGGGAGGAGGUUGAGGAGGACGGGGUCGAUGGAGAGACCAAUGGAUUUGAUGGGUUGGAAGGGGAGGAGUCCGAUUAUGACGACGAUGAUGACGAGGAAGAGGAGGAGGAGGAGGUGGCUAGUGCGGAGGUUGACAUGGAAGACAUUGCCGGCAAGGCGACAGCGAAGAAGCAGAACGGGAAGGUGGAGAGUGCUUUGCCCAAUGGAGGGCAGAAUGGCGCUAGGGCGAUGGUCACGCCCAUCAUCAGGGCGAGCUUGGAGAAACAAGGCUACAAAAUUGUUGGUUCUCAUAGUGGGGUGAAGAUUUGUAGAUGGACGAAGUCACAGCUUCGAGGUCGGGGAGGGUGUUACAAGCACUCAUUUUAUGGCAUAGAAAGCCACAGAUGCAUGGAGGCAACUCCAAGUUUGGCUUGUGCAAAUAAGUGUGUGUUCUGUUGGAGGCAUCACACAAAUCCUGUUGGGAAGAGUUGGAAGUGGAAGAUGGAUGAUCCUCUUGACAUUGUUAAUACUGCAAUUGAAGAACACAGGAAGAUGGUUAAGCAAAUGAAAGGCGUGCCAGGAGUAAAGCCAGAGCGACUAGCAGAGGGUCUAUCCCCUAGACAUUGUGCAUUAUCUCUUGUUGGCGAACCAAUUAUGUACCCAGAGAUAAAUACUCUGGUUGAUGACCUACAUCGCAGACAUAUAUCUACGUUUCUGGUUACAAAUGCUCAAUUUCCUGAAAAGAUUAAGGCUCUGAAACCUAUCACACAGCUGUAUGUCAGUGUGGAUGCAGCUACAAAAGAAAGCCUGAAGGCUGUUGACAGGCCACUCUUUUCGGACUUCUGGGAGCGUUUUCUGGAUUCGCUCAAGUCCCUGCAUGACAAAGAUCAAAGGACGGUGUACCGACUGACACUGGUCAAAGGCUGGAAUGUGGAAGAGAUAGAUGCAUAUGCAAACUUACUAAAACUUGGGCAACCCGAUUUCAUUGAAAUCAAGGGUGUAACAUACUGUGGCUCGUCAGCAACUUCAAAGUUGACAAUGGAAAAUGUCCCCUGGCACGCUGAUGUAAAAGAAUUCUCUGAGGUGUUGGCAUCAAAAAGUGAUGGCAUAUAUGAAUUAGCCUGCGAGCAUGUGCAUUCAUGCUGUGUCCUGCUCGCAAAGGUGGACAAGUUCAAGAUCAAUGGAAAAUGGCAUACCUGGAUAGAUUACGACCGAUUCAAUGAACUGGUGACAUCCGGCAAGCCUUUCAAGAGCAGUGAUUACAUGGCCGUGACACCUUCUUGGGCCGUGUAUGGCGCAGACGAAGGUGGCUUCGAUCCAGAUCAAGCUCGCUUCAGGAAGGAAAGGCGCCAUGGAGCUGCAGCACUCAAAGGCUAA
rnacentral:rRNA from 1 species